rnacentral:rRNA from 1 species
GAUGAACGCUGGCGGCGUGCCUAAUACAUGCAAGUCGAGCGAACAGACGAGGAGCUUGCUCCUCUGACGUUAGCGGCGGACGGGUGAGUAACAUGUGGAUAACCUACCUAUAAGACUGGGAUAACUUCGGGAAACCGGAGCUAAUACCGGAUAAUAUAUUGAACCGCAUGGUUCAAUAGUGAAAGACGGUUUUGCUGUCACUUAUAGAUGGAUCCGCGCCGCAUUAGCUAGUUGGUAAGGUAACGGUUUACCAAGGCGACGAUGCGUAGCCGACCUGAGAGGGUGAUCGGCCACACUGGAACUGAGACACGGUCCAGACUCCUACGGGAGGCAGCAGUAGGGAAUCUUCCGCAAUGGGCGAAAGCUUGACGGAGCAACGCCGCGUGAGUGAUGAAGGUCUUCGGAUCGUAAAACUCUGUUAUUAGGGAAGAACAAAUGUGUAAGUAACUAUGCACGUCUUGACGGUACCUAAUCAGAAAGCCACGGCUAACUACGUG